UUGGCCUGAACUGUUCAUACUGCAUAAAACAGAAGGGACACAAUUAGCUAGAUUCAUAUCGGUGAACAUAUGCAUAUGAUAUGGUUGGGUAGGUCGACUUACUACGUCUCCAGGGUGAUUGUAGUAAUACACAUUAGUUCUCAUCCAUUGACAUAUAUAGUAGCUACAAAGCACGCUUCCAGGGGGCUGCCUCGAGCACUGCAAGACACAG
rnacentral:lncRNA from 1 species